GGUUAAGUUAGAAAGGGCGCACGGUGGAUGCCUUGACACUAGGAGUCGAUGAAGGACGGGACUAACGCCGAUAUGCUUCGGGGAGCUGUAAGUAAGCUUUGAUCCGAAGAUUUCCGAAUGGGGAAACCCACCAUACGUAAUGGUAUGGUAUCCUUAUCUGAAUACAUAGGGUAAGGAAGACAGACCCAGGGAACUGAAACAUCUAAGUACCUGGAGGAAGAGAAAGCAAAUGCGAUUUCCUGAGUAGCGGCGAGCGAAACGGAACAUAGCCCAAACCAAGAGGCUUGCCUCUUGGGGUUGUAGGACAUUCUAUACGGAGUUACAAAGGAACGAGGUAGACGAAGCGACCUGGAAAGGUCCGUCGUAGAGGGUAACAACCCCGUAGUCGAAACUUCGUUCUCUCUUGAAUGUAUCCUGAGUACGGCGGAACACGUGAAAUUCCGUCGGAAUCUGGGAGGACCAUCUCCCAAGGCUAAAUACUCCCUAGUGAUCGAUAGUGAACCAGUACCGUGAGGGAAAGGUGAAAAGCACCCCGGAAGGGGAGUGAAAGAGAUCCUGAAACCGUGUGCCUACAAAU
rnacentral:rRNA from 1 species